rnacentral:rRNA from 1 species
GACAGCGGGGGCAAGCGUUGCUCGGAAUUAUUGGGCGUAAAGCGCACGUAGGCGGCAUUGCAAGUCGGAUGUGAAAUCCCUCGGCUUAACCAAGGAAGUGCAUCCGAAACUGCAGUGCUUGAGUACUUAAGAGGAUCGCGGAAUUCCCGGUGUAGAGGUGAAAUUCGUAGAUAUCGGGAGGAACACCAGUGGCGAAGGCGGCGAUCUGGGAAGAUACUGACGCUGAGGUGCGAAAGCGUGGGGAGCAAACAGG